AAAGGAGCCACUGAAGGGUCUUGUGAGAGCACAGAUUCUGAUGUGGUAGGCCUGGGAAAGGUCCUGAGAGUCUGCAUUUCUAACCAGCUCCCAGGUAAAGCUGAU
rnacentral:pre_miRNA from 1 species